CGGGAGUAAUGUCUGGGAAACGGCCUGAUGGAGGGGGAUAACUACUGGAAACGGUAGCUAAUACCGCAUAACGUCGCAAGACCAAAGUGGGGGACCGUUCGGGCCUCAUGCCAUCAGAUGUGCCCAGAUGGGAUUAGCUAGUAGGUGGGGUAACGGCUCACCUAGGCGACGAUCCCUAGCUGGUCUGAGAGGAUGACCAGCCACACUGGAACUGAGACACGGUCCAG
rnacentral:rRNA from 1 species